GGCCUCGUAGCUCAGUUGGCUAGAUCGUUGGUUUUAAUAAAGCCUUCCCCUUGUUGGCGUGGGUUCGAAUCCCUUCGAGGCCA
rnacentral:tRNA from 1 species